rnacentral:ncRNA from 1 species
AUAUGUUAAGGGCAAACUUGCCGAAAGGCAAGGACGCAAAGCAAUAGGGUCUAAGGUGCAGAUGCAUGAUGAAGCGGGCAUCUAUC